UCACCAGAGAGCAGCAGCUAAUGCUGAUGUUCACUCAGCUAUUUAAUGUACCCUUUCUGGGGAAAUAAGGCAGGGGACAGAAGUGGAGAGGGAUGAAAAGUGCCAUGUGUCAGCUAAGGAUGCCAUAGACCUGUAAGCUUUUACCCUCUCUCAGCUUUACAGGAUGGUGAUGUUGAGAACCAAAUACUAAGUUUUGUUAUUCCCUUUUCUUCAUCAGGCUGAAAAGCAGGCAAGAAAAGAGCAGGAAAAGCAAGCAGAAUUGGACUACAGUGCUCGGAGAGAGGCUGCUUUUCAUCAGGAUCGAGCGUUUUGGAGAUGAAGACAUGCUCAUUUUAUUACAUCCAGCUUUUUUUCAGCAAGCAGAAAGAAUGGAAACUUUUAUAAAAGCCUUUUGAUGGCAGAAGCUGGAACCUUAAGAAGUACUGACUACAGCAGGAGUGGUGCUGAAACCUGCAGAGCUCGAUAAUGCUCCAAAUGCAUCCCUAAGUGCAAAUUUGCACAUGCUCACUACUAUGCAAUUGAAAUAUAUUUUACCACUAGAAAAGCAUCUACAAAGGAGUGAGAAGGAGCCACUCUCUUUCCAAGUUCCGUGUGCCUGCAACACCAAUCAGUGCCCAACAGCAGAAGCUAACUGUGGACCAAGUUACAAGACACAUGCUAUUGCUAGAACCUGCCUAUAACUCAAGCUCAAGAAACAAGUGCCAUAGCUUGCAACUGUACUGUAACUACUUUUAUUAUGGAACAAAGCAGUACAUUCUUUUCAGAAAGUCAAGAGGUAACAACCAAAGGUAAACUAUCAAUUCAUCUGUACUGUACUCCUUGAAUAUUGCUGGGCCUCCGGGCUUAACUCAAACCUUCUGUUUUGACUUGGGGAAAAAAAAAAUCUUACUGAGCAAAUAAAAUUGGGUACAUCUGUCUCA
rnacentral:lncRNA from 1 species